rnacentral:rRNA from 1 species
AGCGAACGCUGGCGGCAGGCCUAACACAUGCAAGUCGAACGAACUCUUCGGAGUUAGUGGCGGACGGGUGAGUAACACGUGGGAACGUGCCUUUUGGUUCGGAAUAACUCAGGGAAACUUGUGCUAAUACCGAAUGUGCCCUUCGGGGGAAAGAUUUAUCGCCAUUAGAGCGGCCCGCGUCUGAUUAGCUAGUUGGUGAGGUAACGGCUCACCAAGGCGACGAUCAGUAGCUGGUCUGAGAGGAUGACCAGCCACACUGGGACUGAGACACGGCCCAGACUCCUACGGGAGGCAGCAGUGGGGAAUCUUGCGCAAUGGGCGAAAGCCUGACGCAACCAUGCCGCGUGAAUGAUGAAGGUCUUAGGAUUGUAAAAUUCUUUCACCGGGGACGAUAAUGACGGUACCCGGAGAAGAAGCCCCGGCUAACUUCGUG